rnacentral:rRNA from 1 species
AUGUCGUGGCCGACGCCAUGGCGCACGAAGCAUCCAAGCCCCGUGCGAAGCUGCACAAGGAGAAACCCGUCCCCGCCGGCGAGGGGUCCAGCCGGCAGCAGGGCGGCCCUGACGUCGUCGACCACGUCCAGGCUCUUCAUCCGGUGCAGGUGGCACCUACGCCGGAACAGGUGGCUCCUCCGCCGGAGCAGGUGA